AGGAAAGGAAAGGAAAGGGGAAGAAAGUAAAGGAAUCAUUUCCCCCCCUCUCUCUCACUCCUCUCUUCUUAAUUCUCUACUUCUCUUCUCUUCUCUUCUCUUCUCUUUGGCCCCACCAACAAUUAAGCUGAGAAGAAAGAAGAGACAGAAAGGAAGGAAGGAAGGAAGGAAGGAAGAAAACAAAA
rnacentral:ribozyme from 1 species